AAGCAACAUGGUACAGAAGUUUUUAGAAUUGGAUCAGGUUUUCACAGCACGACAACUCAGCACAGAGGACAAAUGUUGAGAAAUAUAUAGUUCGUCUACCAUUAAAGGCCUUAUUUGACCCCACAUAGGUGUUCAAGGGAAACAUUAGGCCCUGGAAAGGAAACUUGCCCAGCGGCCAGAUUUUAGUAAACGGUGGAAAACAGUGAAGGGGAACACACCAGGAUCAUCGAGCGUUGAAGGUAACUCUCAGUCUCCGCGUGCACCGAUCCCCAACAAGCUGUGAUCAUGGAAGACCGUCCAACUAUAAAGUUGCGCGUCGAAUACGUCUCUUAGCGCAAAACCUCUAACGGGAGGUCUUUGAGUGACAUUCUAUGCACGGGUCCCGCCCUACAAAACGAUCUUGGAGGAGUCAUACUCAACUGGCGUCUCCAUCGGUUUGUCUUCGUAGCCGAUAUAGAAAAAUGAAUCGCUGCAUAGAUAUGCAAGAAAAAGAUGCCCAUUAUCAGCGAACUUUCUGGCGCUCACCGCUCUGCAAUCCGCAGGCAUGGAGCUUUAUAAGUGGACAUCAAACCUCUUAAAAAGCGUCCCCGCUGCAGAUCUCUCUAACAGUAGCAUUUAUGAGAUGGACAAUGAGGACCCAUUAAAACUUUAGAGUAGCACGCUUAUUCGAACCGUUGCACAGUGGUUCCGCUUGUAUGGAAGCGCGGCCAAAAAUGCUUUUAAUGGCAUUAGAGGGCUGAAAGUUUUACCAAGCUUCGUAAAUAGUGAUUGUAGUUGAAAAAAUCCGCCAACCAGUGAACCCCA